UUCACUGUUCAAAAUAAUAGCAGCGCUGAGCGAUUCUAAGCUAUUUUCGUAGUUAUUUUGGUGUUUGGUAAAUUCAUUGCAAAGUUUUACUUUUUUAUCAAUCGGCAAGUGUUUAAAAAACAAAAAAAAUAAUGAAACGGCAAGUCUUUGUUGUUUUUACAGCAGAAACAUGGGACGCGGGAAACAUUGUUCUGCAGAGACUCAGAAUUUAAUGAAAGAAAGAAAAACGAAGAAUUGUUUGGAAAGCGUUCUUGAUGUACUAGGAAAUAUCGUACAGCGGCGCCAUCAUAUAUUAAUUUCGUGCCCGAAUCGCAACCCACGAAAACCAAUGCAACAACAACACGUGGGUCUGCUGUGCAUUGUUGUGUAGUUCCACAACCGUUUUACAAGGGCUCAACAUUUGGCAAAUAAAGUGUAUUUUCGUAAAUAAAUAAAAUCAUUCGCACCUGCUUUGUUAUUGUAAA